rnacentral:lncRNA from 1 species
CAGAGAGGGAGCAACGCUUGAUAGAGGUAGAGAGGUCACUUGGAGGUGGCGGCUCUAGAGGUGGAGUGAGAGCUUGGCGGAGGAAGAGAACGAUAGCGCUUGAAUGAGGUAGAGCUUGGAGGCGGUGACCCUAGAGGUGGAGCGAGAGCUUGGUGGAGGCGAAGAGGGAGUAGUGUUGACGGAAGUGGAGAGGUGGAUUAGUUGUUACUCUGUUUCAAGAAACUAUUUACUAGGUGAGUUGAUACUUUAGUUUAAAGUUCUGUAUAAAUAUUAGCAUGUUAUUGACAUAUAGAUCUACAAUUUUAAAUCAGAUCUGAAUAUGUAACAUUUGAG